GAGGCAGCGUAGGGGCUGCUACUUCGCCACCUGCUGCUUCACCACGAAGGAGUUUCCAUGCCGCGGAGCGGGCUCAGGACCGCUGGUCGGACCUGAGAAUCCCAGCUGUGUGUCAGGGCUAGAAGGGCUCGGGAGUGCGCGCGGCAAGUGACCAAUAUAAAAAACUAACGUAAGCUAAGGACGAAGGUCUUGACAUGCCUGUGCAAGAGAUGACAAAGUCCAACACCACGCUUGAGAGUGUCCAAUCAUCUCUUCUGGGGCAGCAUAUUUUUCUACAAUACUGAAUUUGGAAAACAACAACAACAUCAAAAAACAAAAAACAAAACAAUAAACCCUACAAGAUUCAUGAAACUGGACAACUGUCUUUAUAACAUUGCCAGUGAUAAAACCAGUAAGGAAGGCUGGUUUGCAGUCAUCCGACCUGCCUCUUUACUUUCAUAAAUAUGGUUUCUCUCUGAUAUUAAACAUCUUCCAAUUUCAAGCGGAAUGCUACAUCACAAGGAUGAGGAUGUGAAGAGAACCGGUUUCUUUUGUAAUCCUAAACGUUCCGCACGGCAGUUUUUGCGAAUUAAAAGCCAUUAUUUGAAGAAGGGUGUCCAGGAUCCAUCUGGUCGCGGAGAAGUCUCCGCAACACAGGCUAACGACGUGAUUCUUUGAGAGUACAGAUGCCGGGGCGGGAGGAAAAAAGGGAGAGGCAGACGUCACUUCCCCUUGCCGGCUCCUGCAGCGGAUUGGUCGGCUGAGUGACAGAAAGGCAUACGAGGACUCGGAAAGGCACUGUCGGUGACAUCACGGGUAGGGCGACCUUCUAUGUAGAUGAGGUAGCGCAGGGACUGCUGCUUGGCCACCUGCUGCUUCGCCACGAAGGAGUUUCCAUGCCCUGGAGCGGGUUGAGGACCGCUGGUCGGACCUGAGAAUCCCAGCUGUGUGUCAGGGCUAGAAGGGCUCGGGAGUGCGCGUGGCAAGUGACCCUUCACCGUGCUGACAGCCUCCAGUCCAAGCAUACCUGAAGCCUUUCUUUUUAAAAAGCUUUCCUACCCUUCUGACUGCCUUCAAGUCUCUGCCAAAGCACAAGUCACAGUGACUGACUCCCUGCUACAGCAAGCUCGGAAUAAAUAGCCUUUGCUUUUUUCCAUUUG